UACGUAGGGUGCAAGCGUUGUCCGGAAUUAUUGGGCGUAAAGAGCUCGUAGGCGGUCUGUCGCGUCGAAUGUGAAAACCCGGGGCUCAACCCCGGGCCUGCAUUCGAUACGGUCAGACUAGAGUUCGGUAGGGGAGUCUGGAACUCCUGGUGUAGCGGUGAAAUGCGCAGAUAUCAGGAGGAACACCGGUGGCGAAGGCGGGACUCUGGGCCGAUACUGACGCUGAGGAGCGAAAGCGUGGGGAGCGAACAGG
rnacentral:rRNA from 1 species